AUACGUAGGUGGCGAGCGUUAUCCGGAUUUACUGGGUGUAAAGGGCGCGUAGGCGGGGAUGCAAGUCAGAUGUGAAAUCCAUGGGCUCAACCCAUGAACUGCAUUUGAAACUGUAUUUCUUGAGUGCUGGAGAGGUAGACGGUAUUCCUUGUGUAGCGGUGAAAUGCGUAGAUAUAAGGAAGAACACCAGUGGCGAAGGCGGUCUACUGGACAGUAACUGACGCUGAGGCGCGAAAGCGUGGGGAGCAAACAGGAUUAGAUACCCUGGUAGUCCACGCUGUAAACGAUGAAUACUAGGUGUGGGGGGACUGACCCUCUCCGUGCCGCAGUUAACACAAUAAGUAUUCCACCUGGGGAGUACGGCCGCAAGGUUGAAACUCAAAUGAAUUGACGGGG
rnacentral:rRNA from 1 species